rnacentral:rRNA from 1 species
UACGUAGGGUGCAAGCGUUGUCCGGAAUUAUUGGGCGUAAAGAGCUCGUAGGCGGUUUGUCACGUCGGAUGUGAAAACCCGAGGCUUAACCUCGGGCCUGCAUUCGAUACGGGCUGACUAGAGUUCGGUAGGGGAGACUGGAAUUCCUGGUGUAGCGGUGAAAUGCGUAGAUAUCGGAAGGAACAUCAGUGGCGAAAGCGACUUCCUGGACCAAUACUGACGCUCAUGUGCGAAAGCGUGGGGAGCAAACAGG